GAGUUCCUCCUUGGCCGGAAGGCCCGGGUAAUCUUGUGAAACUCUGUCGUGCUGGGGAUAGAGCAUUGCAAUUAUUGCUCUUCAACGAGGAAUCCCUAGUAAGCGCAAGUCAUCAGCUUGCGUUGAUUACGUCCCUGCCCUUUGUACACACCGCCCGUCGCUACUACCGAUUGAAUGGUUCAGUGAGGCUUUCGGACUGGCCCAGGGAGGUCGGCAACGACCACCCAGGGCCGGAAAGUUAUCCAAACUCGAUCAUUUAGAGGAAGUAAAAGUCGUAACAAGGUCUCCGUUGGUGAACCAGCGGAGGGAUCAUU
rnacentral:rRNA from 1 species